UGGUUCCUUGAAUUGUAAGGAGAUGAAAUAACUCACCUAUGUGUUCUGCUCAGUGUUUCGGCCAGUUCUGAGUAAUUUGCUUCUGUAUUUCAUAGCAAGAGCUCCAAGUGUCUUGUUAUAUCAGUCACAAGAGGUGAAAGCGAUGCUGGACAUGCAGAUGGCUUUGGAAAAGUUGUGAGUGAAUUAGAAAUGCAAACUGUGUGGAAAGAAAGGACGAGAGAGACGUGGCCUGAAGGCUGUCCCGAGGACUCAUCCUGACAGUGUCAGAGAUAUAAGGAAGGGCUGUGAUCACCUCCACCUCUCGCGCUGUGGGGUUUGAUCCUGGAAGGAGAUGGAAGGGAUCCAUGACGGGCUGCCCUGGAGCCAGUCCCUGCCACGAGGAGUCUCCCUCAUUGACGGGGAGGUAGCGCUGGAGGCUGGAAAUACAGGAUAAGAUAGGAAUGGAAGCCCGCAGCUGGGGAGCAGAGGAUCUGUCUGAUCGCAUCCUGGUUCUUGGGCUCAUUCUUUGCCUGUGCAAGUCCUUGAGCUCGAAGGAGGAUGAACUAUCCACCAUUUUUGGGCAAGGUGCUGUGCCAAAUUCGCAGCCCAGCCCUUGGCCCCAUGUCAGUCACCUUCAAAAGCUCAUCUUUCCCUUUUCCACCUCACUGAGCAUGGGGGACCCAGACAACUUCGUAAACUCGGGAUGUGGCAAAAGCCUUGCUGUAUCUCAGAGUACUGGAAUCUCUGUUUGAAGCUUCAAAAUCUUCCCAAAACUGCCAUGAACACAAAACAGUUCAAGCCCAAAUUUUUGAAGCUAUUUAUGUAUUGAGAGUCAGUAGGAAUUGCCAGAAGUGCUAAACUGUCUCUUAUCCUGAUCUUUUCUUGUUGUUAAAAAAAAAAAAAAAAAAGAGAGAGAGAGAGAGGGAAAAGAGAGAGAGUACAGUUCCUUGUUAUUUUAGGUUUCAACUACAAACUAUUGUCUCUUUGUAAAUUGAGACAAACAGGAAAAAAAUUGCUAUCUCAGUUUAGUUGGGAAUAUAUCAGCUGUGAAAACUCAAGAAAAUCAGACAAGUAGUGCUUGAAUUUCAGGCCUUAAUAAUAGAUAGCUAUUGCAGAUUCUGUAAUAUUACUUUUUUUACUAGUUCUAUCAUCAGACAAAUUUUCUACUUUUUGUGUUACUGAGUUUUUGUUGCAUGGACCAAUAGCAAUCAGAUGAUGGGCCACAAAAUAAUUUUAAGUUCCCAGCUCCUUCAAAUUGGUGUGCCUGGUCUCAGAUAUUCACACAUGGAAGUCAGCAGACAGGGUAAGAAAUGAAUGAAAAAACAUUCACAACAUAACCUAAUUGUGUGGUUGCAAAUAUGAACUGUCACAGCUGAUGGUAGAAUUUUUGGAAAGGUCGAGGAGUCCAUGGAUUGUUACAAAAAGCUCACAAGAUUUUUUGAUGAUAAAUGGUAGAGAAGCACUUCCCUAUGCUUCAAGCGCUUCUGAUUGAGAUUUAUGCAUGGCUUACUCUCUGAGUAUUGUUUGGAGAUGUUUUGAGGGUGGUUCCUUGUUCAUUCAUGUGUUCUGUGUAGCUGAGUAAGGAUGCUUCUGGUUCGUAAGUUUUAUUACCCAUGAUACUUAAGAGAGAACUUUAAAGGGGAUGUAUUUUCACUUGUGAGUGUAUGGUAUCUGGUGUUUAGAAGACAGUUCAAACAGCUGGAUUUGGCUCAAUUCAGCAAAUGCCCAUAUGGGACAGAUAAGUAAGUCAGC
rnacentral:lncRNA from 1 species